rnacentral:lncRNA from 1 species
AUUUUCAUGAAAAUACAUUUUAUAAAUCUAUUAUCGUCGUUUCUAUAAUAUAAUAUUUGAUGAUAAUUUUAAUAAUAUAUUUAAAUAAUUUACGAAAUAAAAUACCAUGUUGUAACAUAAUUGCGGAAAUUAGUGUUAAAAAAUAUUGUACUAUGCGAUUUUGGUUCUUGACUUCCAGUGAUGACGUCACGAAAGCGUUCUCAGGCUUUCAAUAUAGGUGGUGUUGGCCCGGCCUGUCGAUCCCUCCUCCACAAUCCGGUGAUCCCUUCGCGGGAUAGGCAGCCUGUGGAAGAACAUGCUUCGUCCCGCCACUUAGUACUCCUAUUGAGUGGAAAGCGGCGUCAUCUAUUGACAAAAAAAAAGAUAUGAC